UACGUAGGUGGCAAGCGUUGUCCGGAUUUACUGGGCGUAAAGAGCGCGCAGGCGGUCGUUCAAGUCGCGUGUGAAAGCCCCCGGCUCAACUGGGGAGGGUCACGCGAUACUGAUCGACUCGAAGGCAGGAGAGGGUAGUGGAAUUCCCGGUGUAGUGGUGAAAUGCGUAGAUAUCAGGAAGAACACCCGUGGCGAAGGCGGGACUCUGGGCCGAUACUGACGCUGAGGAGCGAAAGCGUGGGGAGCGAACAGG
rnacentral:rRNA from 1 species